CCUCGGGGUUUCUGUCAACUGCUGCUAGAAAGGAAAAAACCCUUUGGAGAGUAAUCUUUUACUGUGGUCAUGCCAGAACCCACUAAGAAAGAGGAAAAUGAAGUGCCCGCCCCAGCCCCUCCCCCAGAAGAACCAAAUAAAGACAAAGAGGCGGGAACCACUCCAGCAAAAGAAUGGUCUCUUGGUGAGUCACCUGCUGGCGGGGAGGAGCAGGACAAACAGAAUGCCAACUCACAGCUGUCCACCCUGUUUGUUGAAAAACCGCAAACCGGAUCGGUGAAAGUCGGUGCAAACAUCACCUUUAUAGCCAAAGUUAAGGCUGAAGAUCUUCUUAGGAAACCCACUGUCAAAUGGUUCAAGGGGAAAUGGAUGGACC
rnacentral:lncRNA from 1 species